CUGAGUGUAAAAACUCCCAAACCCUAUGUGAACCUACCACAGUUGCUUCGGCGGCCUAAAUCGCCCCGGGCGCCCCAGCGCGCCCCGGACCCAGGCGACCGCCGGAGGCACCAAACUCUGAAUCUACAGUGGAUCUUCUGAGUGGCAUAAGCAAAUAAAUCA
rnacentral:misc_RNA from 1 species